rnacentral:rRNA from 1 species
AUUGAACGCUGGCGGCAGGCCUAACACAUGCAAGUCGAACGAGUGGCGGACGGGUGAGUAAUGUCUGGGAAACUGCCUGAUGGAGGGGGAUAACUACUGGAAACUGUAGCUAAUACCGCAUACCAUCGGAUGUGCCCAGAUGGGAUUGGCUAGUAGGUGGGGUAACGGCUCACCUAGGCGACGAUCCCUAGCUGGUCUGAGAGGAUGACCAGCUGCACUGGAAGUGAGACGCGGUCCAGACUCCUACGGGAGGCAGCAGUGGGGAAUAUUGCACAAUGGGCGCAAGCCUGAUGCAGCCGUGCCGCGUGUAUGAAUAAGGCCUUCGGGUAGUAAAGUACUUUCAGCGGCGAGGCGUUACUCGCAGGAGAGGCACCGGCUAACUCCGUGCCAGCCGCCGCGGUAAUUC